UUUCUCUUUUUCAAAGAAAAGAGAGCAAUUAUUUUCAGCUGAGGAUAGAUUAAGAGAAAUUUGAAUGUCUGACCGACAAGGACCUGGAGGGCCAAUCCCAUGGGAAACAGCAUGGCUGCUAGGUGGGAGGACUGUUGGAGAUGUGACAGCACCAAAUUGAAUCUUCUCCCCCGCAAGCAACGAAUUGAUAGGACUCACAGCAGAAGAAAACGACUUGUCCUUAGCCAACAUCGAUGAUGAUGGCAAGCUGGACUCACCAACUGAUUUAGAAGUAUCUCCAACAGAAGAAUGUGAAUCAAACUGUGCAGGCUUCAAAGCCUCAUUGAGUAAGGCCAUAACCUGUUGAUUAAUCCGGGAAUUACCCCAAGAGCCCAAAGAUGUUUGGGCAUUAUCCACAAUCUUAUUCUUAGUCAA
rnacentral:misc_RNA from 1 species